CAGCAGUCGCCACGGGAAUACAGAGGGUGCGAGCGUUAAUCGGAUUUACUGGGCGUAAAGCGUGCGUAGGCGGCUUUUUAAGUCGGAUGUGAAAUCCCUGAGCUUAACUUAGGAAUUGCAUUCGAUACUGGGAAGCUAGAGUAUGGGAGAGGAUGGUAGAAUUCCAGGUGUAGCGGUGAAAUGCGUAGAGAUCUGGAGGAAUACCGAUGGCGAAGGCAGCCAUCUGGCCUAAUACUGACGCUGAGGUACGAAAGCAUGGGGAGCAAACAGGAUUAGAUACCCGGGUAGUCCCUGUCUCUUAUAC
rnacentral:rRNA from 1 species